UAAGACAGAAAGAGUUCUUAAAGAUGGAGGUGAAUGUGAUAUAUGGAGCGAGCUGAUCUACUAGUUCACAAAAGGGAUGGAAUUCAUUUCAUCUCACUUUGAGGAUCUGAUACAGCUGUCCCACCUGAGCUCCUUGUCUGGAUUCCCAUUGAAGAUGCUGUAGGUAUAGUAAAUAAAGUCAAUGGUGUUCUGAGUGUGAGUCAUCUGACCAAAUGUAGAUGCUUAUUUCGGGAUGUGGAAUCACGCCCCAAGCUCCACUAACUCUGCUGACUCACUCUGCAUUGACUACAAAUGGAGUCUAGGGCAACUUGCCCAGAUGCAGACACCCACAUGGCAGACAUCCGCAGCUAAUCAGAUGAAUCCCACCAAAUGGGCUCCAGGUGAAGAGCAUGACCUUCAAGACAUUAGACAUUAUGCGCAAGGCAAAACUACAGCUGGAGCAUUACAUGGAAAUGAAGACUGCAGAAGGUUAGGAAACUCUGACUGCUGUAUUCUCUGGGGCUGGUCCAAAGCCUGGUAAAGUCUGCAGGAAGAAGCCCCUAGAGCGAUGGUCAGAAGAUAUGUUUUAUCUGGCUGCAAAGCAAGUGUAAGAGGUUCCCCGUGGUCCAUCUCUGCCAUGGCAUUUACAGAAAUUGUCUCCUCAGGAUGAAGCUGUGUAACUUGGUUAAGCAGAUGUAAAAAACACAUCACUCGGGAAAGAAGAAUCUCACUCCUAAACCCUAGUACUUCCUUAACCAACCAACGUGCUCUCGUGUGCCAGGUCUACUGUCAGAUUGUCUCUUUCAGGAGCUGUCUGACGUCACAAGCCUUGAAGGAAAUGCAAAUUCUUUCUUGAUUUUUAUUUAUCUGCUAGGCUAGAGAGCUGAACUUCCUCAUUACCACACUUAGUAAACACCUGAGCUUGCACAGAAGAGGAAUUAUGAGAUUUCACCCCACCAUGCUUUGGAAGGAUUCACCCAAACAUGCUUUGGAAGAAUCUAUGAAAUUAUACAAGGGCACUGAGGAUUUUGUUUUCUUCCUUUAUUUGUUUAAAAUCAUCUGUAUUAUUUCACUGGUAUGGUUUGCUCUGUGAUCUCAUAAGCAGUUGCAGCAGAACAAUAGAGAUGAGGCCGCUUUGUCACGCCCUUGCUUAUUGCUAUGGGUUAUGGAACAAGCACUACAGAGGAGCCCCAGUGAAGCCCCCUGUAUCCCAAAGAGAGUCAAGAGACAGUGACUCAUGCACUCCAGCUUUACCAUCAGAAAGAAAAUAAAGGUUUUAUAAAUCAGAAG